AACAGCGUAGCUUAGCGGUAAAGCCUCCAAAAGGGAAGGUCGUGGAUCCAAUUCCCACCUUUGGUU
rnacentral:tRNA from 1 species